GGAUGUGAGAGCAAUCCGGCUGCGACAUCCGUCACCCCGCUGAUCGCCAGGGUUGAUUCGGCCGACCUGGCUGGCUAGUGGGCGUCCCCUUCCUCCCUCACCGCUCCUUGCGUGGCCCUUCGGAAGCUACGCGAUCUGCCUAAGAGGAUGAUCAUCCCCGAUAGGGGAGGACUGGUCUUUGGCCAAGGGUAUCCAAGUAGCUGCGCUCUCCUGCCAGAAUCUCCAAACAAGUUAUCAAGGAAGUAGGAAGAGAGAAAAAGAAGGGAGGGAAGGAAGGAAGGAAUAAAAUAAGGAAGGAAAUAUU
ensembl:misc_RNA 7SK 7SK RNA